UACAGGAACAUGCGCAGGUCUUUGACCAAA
rnacentral:sRNA from 1 species